CCCUGCCUGUGGAGGGUGAAAACAAGGGGAAGCAUACCCAGCAGGAGUGAGUGGUCCCUUUGGAGGAAAAGAAGCCAGCAGCCAAAAAAGCUUCAAGAAUACUGAGUGGCUGACGUUAGCCAAGGAGACUUUCAUCUGGAAUUACUUUCCUUGUGCCUGAAGUGAAUUGUUUAGAAUGUCCUCUAUGGGGUUCAGCUGUGGUGGUCCUCUCCAUUUUGGUUCUGGACAAGCAUAACAAAACUUCACAUUCAUCAUUGAUUCUGCUAAGGAGACAAAUAUCCUCUGGGCAAAGGAAACAGAAUCCUCCCAGAUAUUUUAAGGAGAAAGGGAUAGAAUAUGGUAAAGUUGUAGUUACCUACAACUACGAAAUCAUGUGAUUUUGCUCAGACUCCAACCUACAACAAAGUUUGUACCCAACUACAAAAUCAUGAGAAGGGCUGAAAGAGUGGGUUAGGUUAUAGUAAGAAGAACGAACGCUGAAGUACUACAGAGCUGACCUGUAAGAGGAAGCUGCUCCUUCUGCCGUGGUCAGGAAGGUGGGGACCUGGAGGAUGCUGACAGAAACGCUUAGUUAGGAGACACCGCUCUGAUUCUGGGAUCGGGAAACCAGAAUCAGGAUGCUGCUACCACUGUAACCUCCUCUCAACACCCAGGGAGAAGCGAGAGGACACAGAACUACAGGGUCUACCUCAAUUGCCUCUUAUCAUCAAAACACAAAACGAAACAAGAAAACCAAAACUGAAUAAAAGAAGCAACUCUGUUUCCAGGACUACCAGAAGAUAGCCAAAAACAGUAGAGAGAAGGCCUCCUUUUAAUCCUCCCUUCCAAAUCUCAUGCUAGGGCACCUAUUUGUAGGAGACUGGUUUCCAUCCAGAAUGUGUGCCAUGUAGUUCCUUGUUUUCAUUGUUAGGAAAGAAAACUGAACGCCAAUCGAACAUAUCCAAGAUAUUUCCUAUGUCUUCUUGUGCUCUUAUAAACUUAAUAUAGGGUAUAUUGAAGGUAUCCUCCUUUGCACAUAGCCCACAUGCAAUCUCUUAAUGCAUGUGUAUGCAUUUGCGGUUAUGGUAAGAAUUAUGCACUGGAACUAGUCAUGAAUUAUACUCAAUGUAAUGUACUGAGUGAGAUCCUACAUCGUUCCAUACCCCCAAAAGCCUAUAGCUAAGGAUUAGGUACGUGAUGUGUGUAUUUUUGACUGUCCCAAUAUGACAUGUAGUGCAAAAACAAAAACAAAAACAGGACAAAUCCCCACUGAAGAGUACACUCAUUUGACUCCUCGCGAUCCCACAUUUACUGUAAUGAGUUAUAGACCCCCCUAAAUCUGCUGUUCCUUUCCAUUCUACUCUGCUGCAUACUUUUCUAAUUUAGCUAUAGUCACUUCUUUGUAGCUUCAAUUAUUUCUUUUAAAAUAUUCCGAUAUGGUUUUCUUCCUCUUUUACGGGUCACAAAGAGAGCUAUAGAUUUUAAAGUAUAUGUUCAGAGGAGAAUGAAAAGUAUACCUCCAAGCCUUCUCCGCCCUCCUGCAAAAGGCUCCAUUGACUUUUGCAACACCCCCAACUUCAUUUAUCUAUAGGAUGGCUCUUGAUAGCUUUGUGUGAGCUUUUUAAAGUUCAGCCAAGCCAGCUGCAUGAUCAACACAAAGACAAUAGCUCCCACACACGGGGCUACAUGGAUUAAAGAACCCGAUCCAUCAGUAAAUCUGCCAGAUGGCAGUGGAAGAAAGCUUGUAACUCUCUCACUUUCAUUUCAACAGCAGCAAACAAUGUUCAGUGUUUAAAAUAAACUCUUCCAGAUGAGCUAAAGAUAAACUCUGAGGUGGGUGGACUUGAGCUUGCUAGGCUGCAGCUCUGAAGUGUUUGAUUACAUUAACACAAAACCCCUGGGUAGAACCCGCUUCUGUCAACAGAAUGCUCAGACUCCAACACCUACUACAUGAAGCCAUUUCCUGUGCUUUCAUGGGUUGGUGGCAGAAACUUGCUUUGCUUUUUUCACAAACUAAUAAUGAUUAUGUAUUUCUCUGUGCUCAGCAUUUCCUCAAACCAUGUGUACAAUUUAAAGAUAUUCCUAAAAUGCCAACACUAUAUGUAGGUCUGUACAGAUAAUGAUCUUUUGAGUAUAUUUACAACUUAAACUCAUAUUUACUCAUUCAUCUCACCUCUCUUAUAGUAGCAGAAAAGUUACCAUUAGGAUUUAAAACCAUCCUGCUAAUAACUGGAUAACUAUCUAGACUAUGGGGUAUACCCCCUUGAAGAAAAAAAAAAGGUACAAGUAUUUUUUUAAGUCAGAAUUUAUAAAGGAAGUCAGCAUCUUCUUUUUUGUUGUUGUUUUUUGAAGAGACUUUAAAACUUGCAACUGAGGACAGACCAGGUUGUCAUAUGUCAUAUGUAACAUGGCAACUUCUAAAGGUAAAAUGACAUACUGAAAAAAAAAAUCACUUAAAUAUUCAGGAACUUACCUAUUUAACACCAUUAGUAGGAGCUUUAAAUGAAGAAGAGAAACAAACACGGGGUUGAUGAUGAAAAUAAAUCUUAGGCUGCAAAAACAGUUAAAUCCAAUAAUCAAUUAGGUAUAUUGGGGCACUAAAAAUAUGUAUAUCUCAAAUUUAGAUGAGGAGCCUUUGGGAAAAUAUGACUCACUAUGCAGAGCACAUUUAUUGUCAAUUCCUCCAAACUGAAACUUUUCUGAUGUCAGUGAUAGCUCUAUUUUAUAUGGUAUUAGCCCUCUUAUUUAGAAUUGGUUGGUUACGUGAACAAGUUGAUUAAAGAAGGAAAUCAUAAAGAUGAAUCAUAUGCACCCGGGAUUUAUUAUCUGAACUUGAAACAUAUGGCACAUUCAUUCAUUUGCCUAUCUUCUGAUGCAAGGCUAAGGGCUUUUCUCUGUUUUUUUUUUUU